rnacentral:lncRNA from 1 species
UGACGUUGUUGCUGCUGCUCAGAUCAUUGAUCAAUGACCUCAUUUCUAACCGUAGCACAUACACAAAACACGUCCUGAAAGAAGGUGUGUGACAUUAUCCUCCAUAAAUAAAUGAAUUUGUGGGAAACGCUGAUGUUAAGUUUAUCUAAUAAUAGUUUAUUUGUUGUUUUGAGUUAAAUGUGUUAAAUUUGACUCUGGAAAUAAAAGGUCAUUUUGAUAUUUUGAAGUUAGUUUAAAAUAAUAAUUUUGCACCAGAAGUGUUGAAAAAGUAGCGAGUAGUAACCGAUACCCAACCCUAGUAAUGAUGGAGCCCACCUGAUGUUUGUCUUGUUUUUUAACUGCCCUAGUGAUGCGUUUCCAUCUGCUGAAGCACACACGACUGAAUGUGGUGACGUUCCUCAACGAGCUGCCAUAAACUCAGCAUGACAUCAUCUCUUUCACCGUGGACGUAAACGCCUACACAUUUGUGCAUCAUCAACGACCAGCUCUUCAUCAGAAUGGCUACAACGGAGCAGAUCAGCAGAGCUUUUGUGCCCCGCCCCCUUCCUCCAGCCCAGUGCCCACCCUCACUGCCCCACAGCAGGAGAUGCUCAGCACCUUCUCCCUGAAGUCAGAUAUGAACCUGGAAUGAUCCCUGAAGUGUUUGCAGGACAACAAGUGGGACUUGAACAAAGCAAAACUGUUUUCCAAAUAUUUUCACUAAAAUCAGAGUUAAUAACUUUUAAAAUAUAAUUUAUUUUCAAAGGAAGAAGAAAAACAUUAUGGUUCAAUGUCUGCUUAAAUAAUUUAUUUCUCUUUUUUAAUAAACACUUUUUUUCAAAUAAAGUAAAAGCA